CGAUAGCUCAGGUGGUAGAGCAUGAGACUCUUAAUCUCAGGGUGGUGGGUUCGAGUUCCACACUGGGUUGAAAGA